rnacentral:rRNA from 1 species
AGCUUGUUGGUGGGGUAAUGGCCUACCAAGGCGACGACGGGUAGCCGACCUGAGAGGGUGACCGGCCACACUGGGACUGAGACACGGCCCAGACUCCUACGGGAGGCAGCAGUGGGGAAUAUUGCACAAUGGGCGGAAGCCUGAUGCAGCGACGCCGCGUGAGGGAUGAAGGCCUUCGGGUUGUAAACCUCUUUCAGCAGGGACGAAGCGUGAGUGACGGUACCUGCAGAAGAAGCACCGGCUAACUACGUGCCAGCAGCCGCGGUAAUACGUAGGGUGCGAGCGUUGUCCGGAAUUACUGGGCGUAAAGAGUUCGUAGGCGGUUUGUCGCGUCGUUUGUGAAAACCCGGGGCUCAACUUCGGGCUUGCAGGCGAUACGGGCAGACUUGAGUGUUUCAGGGGAGACUGGAAUUCCUGGUGUAGCGGUGAAAUGCGCAGAUAUCAGGAGGAACACCGGUGGCGAAGGCGGGUCUCUGGGAAACAACUGACGCUGAGGAACGAAAGCGUGGGUAGCAAACAGGAUUAGAUACCCUGGUAGUCCACGCCGUAAACGGUGGGCGCUAGGUG